rnacentral:rRNA from 1 species
GGAGUUAGCCGGUGCUUCUUCUGCGAGUAACGUCACAGAUGUAAGGUAUUAACUUACACCCUUUCCUCCUCGCUGAAAGUGCUUUACAACCCGAAGGCCUUCUUCACACACGCGGCAUGGCUGCAUCAGGGUUUCCCCCAUUGUGCAAUAUUCCCCACUGCUGCCUCCCGUAGGAGUCUGGGCCGUGUCUCAGUCCCAGUGUGGCUGAUCAUCCUCUCAGACCAGCUAGGGAUCGUCGCCUAGGUGAGCCUUUACCUCACCUACUAGCUAAUCCCACCUGGGCUUAUCCAUCAGCGCAAGGCCCGAAGGUCCCCUGCUUUCCCCCGUAGGGCGUAUGCGGUAUUAGCAGUCGUUUCCAACUGUUAUCCCCACAAAUGGGCAAAUUCCCAGGCAUUACUCACCCGUCCGCCGCUCGUCAUCUUCAAAAGCAAGCUUUUGAAAUGUUACCGCUCGACUUGCAUGUNUUAGGCCUGCCGCCAGCGUUCAAUCUGAGCCAUGAUCAAACUCUGA